GUGGGCACGUUGUCGUCCAGAGAGCAAGAGCGUCGCUCCCCCUCGCCUUCUCGGCCGCCCUCCCGGUUUACCGCCCCCUGUGUCCAGAGAUCACAGAUGGAGAGACAUUUUGCCACACGAUGAAUCACACACCACAUCUCAUCCCCGAGCUUCAGCUGCAGGACAAUGCUGCCAGAGGCCUGGUCCUCAGAGCUCACGUAAGCAUCUCUGGUGUGCAGUAUUUUUACUCCGUUUUUGACCAAAGACACCUGAACAUUCCUGGAGAAAACAGUGAUGUGGAUCUUAUCAAAUUUAAUGGGCACAUCUGAAGAAGGAAACUUGCUCAGCACCGUGAGCCCCACAGUGAAAGCACUUUUUGGCAAGACUAGAGU
rnacentral:lncRNA from 1 species